rnacentral:rRNA from 1 species
CCCUUAGACGUUCUGGGCCGCACGCGCGCUACACUGACCAGUGCAACAAGCAUCCGUCCUUGGCCGACAGGCUCGGGCAAUCUUUGAACGCUGGUCGUGAUGGGGAUAGACUUUUGCAAUUUUUGGUCUUCAACGAGGAAUUCCUAGUAAACGCAAGUCAUCAACUUGCAUUGAUUACGUCCCUGCCCGUUGUACACACCGCCCGUCGCACCUACCGAUUGAAUGGUCCGGUGAAGCCUCCGGAUUGGCGCGCACCUCGGUGCCGCCGAGAAGUUGGCUAAACCUUACCAUUUAGAGGAAGGUGAAGUCGUAACA